AUCUCUGCCUACCUGAGGCCUUCUAAAGUUAUUCCAGAUUGCAGUGAAAAAAUGAACUGAGAGGAACACUGGGAUAGCCAAAUCACAGACUUAACACUCUUUUUAUCAGGAGAGAUGGGAGUGCAGAAGUCAACCAGGAAGAGUCAGUCAUGAAAUAGAAACUGAUCUAACCUUCGUCUUUGAAAUGGAAGUGAAACCACUGAGGAGGGAGUCACACGAUCUCUAUUAUCAGUACCUCCAUCUUCAUGCAAGUCUGCAGAUAAGCUUGUUUCUGCAUUCUUCUUGUAAAUAGUAGAA